CGGGCGGGCCGGGUGAUCGCUGGUUCCUGCGGAAGAGUGGCGACGUAAAGCCGCCGCUACAAAGCUGGAACGGGAGGAAAGUCCGGACACCGUCCUGACGCACGCUCUUCACGUUGUGAGGAGCGGAACUCUUGACAGGGCAACGCGCCUGGUAACGCCAGGGGGCGCAAUGGGGAGCACAGGCUAAAGCCUGUGCCACUCGGAGCGCUACGGAAAGUGCCACAGAGAAUAGACCGCCGGCGGAGCGCAGCACGGUGGCAUCGCGCAGGGAAACCUGCGAGACGUCUUCGAAGAGCACGCAUCGUUUGGCAAGGGUGAAAAGGUGGGGUAAGAGCCCACCGCUCCGGUGGUGACACCGGAGGCACGGAAAACCCCGCGUGGUGCAAGGCCAAAUAGGAGGGGAGAGCCGGCCCGGCUCGAUGAGCGAAAGCUCCUUUUGCGGUGGCUCAAGCCACUGCAGAUGAAAACCCUCGGGUAGGCUGCUGGAGUCACGGUGCGAAUCGUGACCUAGAGGAAUGAUCGCCGCGCAUGCAAGCCGUUUUGCGGUUUGCGUGCGGCACAGAAUCCGGCUUACAGGCCCGUCCGCCAC
rnacentral:RNase_P_RNA from 1 species